GAAAGAUAAAAGCCCAGAGGGAAAAGGUAGAUGGGUUAAUUUAAGGUUAAAAAAAUAAGCUGGUUAGAAUAAACCAAGCUAAGGCUGAGCAUUGAUAACUAAGAAUAUUUGGGAGCUGGGUGGUAACACCCGCCAAAGAAAAAAGAUCAAAGACAACACAACAGGCUGCAUCCUGUUAGGUGGUUGACAUAUUCCAAAAAGUGGAUAAAAUAUACACUAAUCAUAAUUUGAGUAACUUAAGGCCCCAAUAGAAAGGAGAAUGCAAACUGUUCCUCCUCUCUAUCCUGUGUGUCUCCUUGUACCAUAGACCAUUUGAAAGCUGGGGCUGUUGAUAGUACCAAAGCCUUCAUUUCCUCACAAGAACAUGGCUGCCAAUCUGGGAAGAAUACUGCAUUUUAUUCUUUAUCUACCCUGAGUUCCACAGAUAAAACAGCUGUUUGUGAGACUUGGGUGCUGACGGAGCACAUUAAUUACUGUCAUCGGGAUUUGGAUCCACUGGAGAGCUGCUGGAAGCCCUGUGCUCAAACUACUCACAUGCUCAUCCACCGUGGAGUGAGUAAAGUGUUACCCAGAAAGCAAGAGGAUGACUGAGCUGAUGAUCUAUGCAGCACGGCAGAUGAAUCAACAGACACAGUGGCAUGAUGAGGAAAAGAGGUAAUACAGAAUGAGUACAAACCAUGAUGCUUCAUUUACAUAAAUCAAGAGAAAACUAAUUCAUCCUGUGAGAAGUCAACAUUGGUGUGUGGGAAAAUGGGGACUUCUAGAAGGGAUCACAGAAUAACUUCCUGGAUGCUGCUAACACUGUUUUUUGAAUUUAAUAUGGGUUCCACAUGUUUCCUUACUGUGAAAACUCAUCACGUUUCAUGAUGUGUGUUUUUAUACAGAUUUAUACUUAAGUGAAGAGUUUAAAAUUAAUAAUUAACUAAAAAAAUCCUCAGAUGCUUCAGCACCACACAAUAUAGAUGUGACAACCUCUAUAGAUCAGGCAAAUUUUGUGACUACAGGCCAUCCUCACAACAAAAAUAAUAAUGAAAAGAAGAGAGAGAGAGACCAAACAGGAAGACAAUCAGCCCAGAGAUGCUAUAUGCUCGGUUUUGAUAAGAAAUUAUGAAAUACAAAUAAAUUAAAAUAGCACACUGAAAAUAUUUUUUCU
rnacentral:lncRNA from 1 species